AGAAGCAGGCUCCCUGCAGGGAGCCUGAGGUGGGAUUCGAUUCCAGGUCUCCAGGAUCAGGCCCUGGACUGAAAGUGGUGCUAAACCUCUGGGCCACCAGGGCUGCCCUUCAAUGGACAGAAUCAGGAAACCACACACUUAGAGAAAAGCUAGAAGAACAUGACAAAACCAAUCAAAAAUAAGUAGCCGACCUGAUACUGCGUUGCCCUGAAUACACAUGCAUGUAUAUUGUAUACAUUAUCGGUAUCAGCCUGGACUUGUGCAACUUUUUUAAGAUUUUAUUUAUUUGUUCAUGAGAGACACACAGAGAGAGGCAGAGACACAGGCAGAGGGAGAACCAUGAUGAGGCGCUCGAUCCCAGGACCUGGGGAUCACAACCUGAGCAAAGGCAUAUGCUCAACCACUGAGCCACGCAGGUGCCCUGCAUUUUUAUUUUAUUCAAUGGCUUAUAAGCUUUUACUAUUAUUAUUUAUGCUAAUAUUUAAAUUGUUCCAUAUUUAGAGGUUUUCACACUGGCUCCUAUAUCAAUAAGGAAUUUUUUAAAAUUUUUUUAAGAUUUAUUUAUUUGUUUGAGAGAGAGAGAGCAGAGGGAGGGGCAGAGGGAGAGGGAAAGAACCUCAAGCGGACUCCAUGCCCAGCACAGAGCCAGACAAGGGGCUCAAUCCCACGACACUGAGGUCAUGAUCUGGCAACCCCUUUUUUAAAAAAUCUUAUGCCUCAGGGCACCUGGGUGGUUCAGUCAGUUAAGUGUCAGACUCUUGACCUCAGCUCAGAUCUUGAUCUCAGGGUCAUGAGUUCAAGCCCUGAGAUGGGUGGGCACGGGGCCUACUUUAAAAAAAAGUCUUAAGCCCCAAAGUCUCACCACAAUUGAUAUUAACAAUAAUUCCUUAAUAUAAUGUCAUAUUCAGUUCACGGUCAAGUUUCAGGAUUACCUCACACUGUAAGUUCAGUUUAAAUCGGCUUCCAAACAAUACACAUUAUUUGUUUAUAAACUUUGUAAGUCUCUUAAUCUAUAACGAUGCCUUCUACCCUCAUGUAUUUUCAUGCUAUUUAUUUGUUGCUGAAAUCACAUCUCUUGUCCUAUAGAAUCACCCACAUUCCGGAUUUGGUUGAUUGCACUUCAAUAUGUCAUUUAACAUUUUCCUUUAUUCCCCCAAUUUCCUGUACAUGAAUAGGUAGACCAAGACGCUUGAUUACAUUCAGGGCUAUUCUUUGGAAGAGAAUGCUUUGUGGUUGGCAUUGUGUGCUCCAUAUUAUAUCAUAUCAUGAGGCACAGAGCAUUAGACUCUCCCACUUGUAGUGAUCAGUUCAGUCUUUGGGUUGAGGUGGGGUCAACUUGAUUCCUCCACUACAAAACGCCACAUCCACCAUUUACCUGAUUGGCAGGCAUUGAUAAUUCUUAUUUCACUAGUGUUUUAAAGCCAUAAAGUUCGAAUUCUGUUGUUCCUUCUGCAAUAUUAUGCUGU
rnacentral:lncRNA from 1 species